rnacentral:snoRNA from 1 species
CACAUCUCUCAAUAACGGAUUGAUUUAGAAUUAGGUUCAUAUUUUUUAUAUGAGAUCAUCUUAGUUUCAUGACUCAGGUUGUGAGU